UCUGGUGAGACGCAGCGGCUGCAGUUGUGAUCUGGCUCCACAUGCACAGAAAUGCAUCUGUCCUCUCCUUCCUCUCUGGUGCCUCCUCCAUCCCUUCCUCUCUCUGGAGCUUUUCAGGCACAAAUGCAUCAACCGGACAAGCAAGGGUCAGAGAGAGGAACGUGUAAAAGCAAAGAAGGAAAAGCUGGCCCUCCCUGCCUACCUGCUUGAGGGAGAAGGUGCCGCUCUGUGGUUUUGCGGUGCGGGGAGGGGAUGUGAGAACACCAACCCGGCGUGGGGCUCAAUGAGGAAGGAUGUGCCAGGAGGAGCAGGAGGUGCAAAGCUGGAGAAGAUUCAGUCCCUUGUCCAUCUAGGAAAAUCUUUCAAUCUCACGGAGGUCCAGAGGGAACGGAGCCAAGAGCCCACCAGGUCUGGUGGAUGUCUCCCGCCUGGCCAGUCCUGCACUCACUGGCCCCCGACGCCAUAUGCAGAGCCCAUGUCCAAAGCCAGGAAAAGGAUCCAGAAUGCUUCCCUCCUUUUCCUUCUCGAGGCCACUAACACUGAAAUGAUCCUCGGAUACUGGACCUUCCCACAAAAGCUCACCCCUUCCCCGUUCUGUCCUGGAUUAUUAUUUUUCAAAACACAGCCUGCCCAUUUGUCCGGGUAAGAACAGCGCGUUAACAGGCAAAAACUACUCUCCUGUUGGCUGACCUGUCAUUUCAUUCACUUUUGAAUUUAAUGUAAAUAUUGCACGAUCACGGCCUUGGGUGCAGUUCAGAGCAAAUCUCUCUUUUGCUUCCUUAUCUGAUUAUCUUUUAAGAAAACACCUCAUUGUUCAGAUUCAAGAAUAACAAGUUUCCCCACAUCCAGCUCCUCACCUCUUCAUUUUUGUCUGUCCUGCUUAGCAUCCUAUAAUUACAGAAACAUGUCUGUCAGCGAUUUGCACAUCUGAUAAUCAGAUUUUCUCUUGUUCACAGCUCUUCCUCCAUCCGCACCCCACCCCACCCCAUUCUGCCACAUCUGGAGCAGUCCCCUGCCACUCCAUGCCCAACUGACUCCUGAACUGUUUCCAGAUCACAUCUGUCUUUCCCAGUACUGGCUUCCUGACACGCUGGAUCAUAAACUA
rnacentral:lncRNA from 1 species